UACGGGGGGGGCAAGCGUUGUUCGGAAUUACUGGGCGUAAAGGGCUCGUAGGCGGCCAACUAAGUCAAACGUGAAAUCCCUCGGCUCAACUGAGGAACUGCCUUUGAAACUGUCUGGCUUGAGGCCGGGAGGGGGUAGCGGAAUUCCCAGUGUAGCGGUGAAAUGCGUAGAUAUUGGGAGGAACACCAGUGGCGAAGGCGGCUACCUGGACCGGUUCUGACGCUGAUGCGCGAAAGCGUGGGUAGCAAACAGG
rnacentral:rRNA from 1 species